rnacentral:rRNA from 1 species
UUUAUCGGAGAGUUUGAUCCUGGCUCAGGACGAACGCUGGCGGCGUGCCUAAUACAUGCAAGUCGAGCGGACAGAUGGGAGCUUGCUCCCUGAUGUUAGCGGCGGACGGGUGAGUAACACGUGGGUAACCUGCCUGUAAGACUGGGAUAACUCCGGGAAACCGGGGCUAAUACCGGAUGCUUGUUUGAACCGCAUGGUUCAAACAUAAAAGGUGGCUUCGGCUACCACUUACAGAUGGACCCGCGGCGCAUUAGCUAGUUGGUGAGGUAAUGGCUCACCAAGGCAACGAUGCGUAGCCGACCUGAGAGGGUGAUCGGCCACACUGGGACUGAGACACGGCCCAGACUCCUACGGGAGGCAGCAGUAGGGAAUCUUCCGCAAUGGACGAAAGUCUGACGGAGCAACGCCGCGUGAGUGAUGAAGGUUUUCGGAUCGUAAAGCUCUGUUGUUAGGGAAGAACAAGUACCGUUCGAAUAGGGCGGUACCUUGACGGUACCUAACCAGAAAGCCACGGCUAACUACGUGCCAGCAGCCGCGGUAAUACGUAGGUGGCAAGCGUUGUCCGGAAUUAUUGGGCGUAAAGGGCUCGCAGGCGGUUCCUUAAGUCUGAUGUGAAAGCCCCCGGCUCAACCGGGGAGGGUCAUUGGAAACUGGGGAACUUGAGUGCAGAAGAGGAGAGUGGAAUUCCACGUGUAGCGGUGAAAUGCGUAGAGAUGUGGAGGAACACCAGUGGCGAAGGCGACUCUCUGGUCUGUAACUGACGCUGAGGAGCGAAAGCGUGGGGAGCGAACAGGAUUAGAUACCCUGGUAGUCCACGCCGUAAACGAUGAGUGCUAAGUGUUAGGGGGUUUCCGCCCCUUAGUGCUGCAGCUAACGCAUUAAGCACUCCGCCUGGGGAGUACGGUCGCAAGACUGAAACUCAAAGGAAUUGACGGGGGCCCGCACAAGCGGUGGAGCAUGUGGUUUAAUUCGAAGCAACGCGAAGAACCUUACCAGGUCUUGACAUCCUCUGACAAUCCUAGAGAUAGGACGUCCCCUUCGGGGGCAGAGUGACAGGUGGUGCAUGGUUGUCGUCAGCUCGUGUCGUGAGAUGUUGGGUUAAGUCCCGCAACGAGCGCAACCCUUGAUCUUAGUUGCCAGCAUUCAGUUGGGCACUCUAAGGUGACUGCCGGUGACAAACCGGAGGAAGGUGGGGAUGACGUCAAAUCAUCAUGCCCCUUAUGACCUGGGCUACACACGUGCUACAAUGGACAGAACAAAGGGCAGCGAAACCGCGAGGUUAAGCCAAUCCCA